UUUCCCGCUGAUGGCAGGUUUUCCCACCAGCCGGUCGCUUUCUUUCCAGAGCCACCAUGGUGGAGUGCGCCUGGCAAGUCCAAACCAGCAGAUUCUGCAUUUGCCGAUGGGGAAGGUGGUUUCCGUCCCAAGCAUCGGUGUUGGCGACCCCGAAGGGCUAGAUAGGAUGGAGAAGAGAGAGCAGAGAAGAGUGAAAAGACCAGAUCACCAAGCUGCUCCUUGACAAGCUGUUGGCUCACUUCAAGGUCGGUGGACACUGACACAAUGACACAAGUGCUCGUUGCCUCCCUGGACUUGACACCCACUCAGGUCGUCAGCUGGUAUCAUCUCCAAUGCACUCAAUACUGAAAGUGUCCCUGGAAUGGCCAAUGAGGAGAGACAGGAAACUUCACGGGUGAAUGGAUCCCAGAAAUAUUCCUGCCAGGAUCCUGCAUGUCAUCUCUACAGGUCAGGACAGAGGAUCAUGCAUUUACUCUGCAGAUGACAUGGGAAAAUCAAUGGAUGUUGAAUGCUGCUGCAUUCCUCUCUGUUUAGGGCACCGGCUUCCUGUUGCAUUCUCUGAAAUGGUGGUUGUUUGGUUCUUAACGGCUGAAAUGUCUUUUCCAGAGUGGUGGAGUGUGGCAGAGAGGGAGGCUGGAAAGUCGAAAAGUGAGAAGGUUUUUUUUAAGGUUUUCCAAAUCAAUAAACUCAU